rnacentral:lncRNA from 1 species
AUUUAAUAAAAAUAAAAUUAAAUAAAUAACAAUAAAAUUAAUAAUAAUAAUAAUAAUAAUAAUAAAUUAAAAAUUAUCGGGCGUUACAUCUUCAGUUAUUGGGCAGGAUAGUGUUAGAAUACUCUGAAUAGUGGCUGAAGGCCUUGGGCAGUUUGAAGAUGCCUGACUAAACCCUUAGAGAGGGACAAUUAAAUAUGCUUCUUAAAAUAACUCCAGGGUGUUGUAGCAACGAAGUACAAAUUCAUGGCACUUUUCCUGGUGAAACUUGCUAAUUUGUAUGGUUUUACAGGUUCAAUUAGGGUGGGCCAUGAAGCAAAAAAGUAAUGGUUGAAGAAGGUGAGGUAAUCAACUCGAUUGACAAUAAUGUUGAAGAUUGAGUUUUCUGAGGAAUAAGGAGU